rnacentral:rRNA from 1 species
UACAGAGGGGGGCAAGCGUUGUUCGGAAUUACUGGGCGUAAAGGGCGCGUAGGCGGCCUGUUAAGUCGAACGUGAAAUCCCCGGGCUCAACCCGGGAACUGCGUCCGAUACUGGCAGGCUUGAAUCCGGGAGAGGGAUGCGGAAUUCCAGGUGUAGCGGUGAAAUGCGUAGAUAUCUGGAGGAACACCGGUGGCGAAGGCGGCGAUCCUGGACCGGGCAUUGA